CAGUGUGACUCGUCACACUAUCAUUAACUGAAUCCAUAGGUUAAUGAGGCGAACCGGGGGAACUGAAACAUCUAAGUACCCCGAGGAAAAGAAAUCAACCGAGAUUCCCCCAGUAGCGGCGAGCGAACGGGGAGGAGCCCAGAGCCUGAAUCAGCAUGUGUGUUAGUGGAAGCGUCUGGAAAGGCGCGCGAUACAGGGUGACAGCCCCGUACACAAAAGCGCAUGUGCUGUGAGCUCGAUGAGUAGGGCGGGACACGUGGUAUCCUGUCUGAAUAUGGGGGGACCAUCCUCCAAGGCUAAAUACUCCUGACUGACCGAUAGUGAACCAGUACCGUGAGGGAAAGGCGAAAAGAACCCCGGCGAGGGGAGUGAAAAAGAACCUGAAACCGU
rnacentral:rRNA from 7 species